rnacentral:rRNA from 1 species
ACAACAGGUGGAGCCUGCGGUUUAAUCGGACUCAACGCCGGGAAACUCACCAGAUAAGACAGCUGAAUGAUAGUCGGGCUGAAGACUCUACUUGACUAGCUGAGAGGAGGUGCAUGGCCGUCGUCAGUUCGUACUGUGAAGCAUCCUGUUAAGUCAGGCAACGAGCGAGACCCACGCCAACAGUUGCCAGCAUGUCCUCCGGGAUGAUGGGGACACUGUUGGGACCGCCUCUGCUAAAGAGGAGGAAGGAAUGGGCAACGGUAGGUCAGCAUGCCCCGAAUUAUCCGGGCUACACGCGGGCUACAAUGGUCAGGACAAUGGGUAUCAACACCGAAAGGUGAAGGCAAUCUCCUAAACCUGUCCUUAGUUCGGAUUGUGGGCUGCAACUCGCCCACAUGAAGCUGGAAUCUGUAGUAAUCGCGUCUCAAAAUGGCGCGGUGAAUAUGUCCCUGCUCCUU